CCUACACAGGGGGAUAACAGCCGGAAACGGCUGCUAAUACCGCAUAGACUGUAUUCUCGCAUGAGAGAACAGGGAAAGAUUUAUCGGUGUAGGAUGAAUCCGCGUCCGAUUAGCUAGUUGGAGGGGUAACGGCCCACCAAGGCGACGAUCGGUAGCCGGCCUGAGAGGGCGACCGGCCACAUUGGGACUGAGACACGGCCCAGACUCCUGCGGGAGGCAGCAGUGGGGAAUAUUGCACAAUGGGGGGAACCCUGAUGCAGCGACGCCGCGUGAGUGAAGAAGUAUUUCGGUAUGUAAAGCUCUAUCAGCAGGGACGAAGAUGACGGUACCUGCAGAAGAGGCCCCGGCUAACUACGUGCCAGCAGCCGCGGUAAUACGUAGGGGGCAAGCGUUAUCCGGAUUUACUGGGUGUAAAGGGAGCGUAGACGGCAGGGCAAGCCAGAAGUGAAAACGCAGAGCUUAACUUUGCGACUGCUUUUGGAACUGCCCAGCUAGAGUACAGGAGAGGUAAGUGGAAUUCCUAGUGUAGCGGUGAAAUGCGUAGAUAUUAGGAGGAACACCAGUGGCGAAGGCGGCUUACUGGACUGAGACUGACGUUGAGGCUCGAAAGCGUGNGGAGCAAACAGGAUUAGAUACCCUGGUAGUCCACGCUGUAAACGAUGAAUACUAGGUGUUGGGGGCGAUAGCCUCCGGUGCCGCAGCAAACGCAGUA
rnacentral:rRNA from 1 species